UAGAGGUUAUUCCUACUAACUCUAGCCAGUAUUAAACAGAGUUGUAGUCUCUCUCUCUCUCCCUGGUCUGAUAGUUGGAUUAGAGGUUAUUCCUACUAACUCUAGCCAGUAUUAAACAGAGUUGUAGUCUCUCUCUCUCUCCCUGGUCUGAUAGUUGGAUUAGAGGUUAUUCCUACUAACUCUAGCCAGUAUUAAACAGAGUUGUAGUCUCUCUCUCUCUCUCCCUGGUCUGAUAGUUGGAUUAGAGGUUAUUCCUACUAACUCUAGCCAGUAUUAAACAGAGUUGUAGUCUCUCUCUCUCUCCCUGGUCUGAUAGUUGGAUUAGAGGUUAUUCCUACUAACUCUAGCCAGUAUUAAACAGAGUUGUAGUCUCUCUCUCUCUCUCCCUGGUCUGAUAGUUGGAUUAGAGGUUAUUCCUACUAACUCUAGCCAGUAUUAAACAGAGUUGUAGUCUCUCUCUCUCUCUCUGGUCUGAUAGUUGGAUUAGAGGUUAUUCCUACUAACUCUAGCCAGUAUUAAACAGAGUUGUAGUCUCUCUCUCUCUCUCCCUGGUCUGAUAGUUGGAUUAGAGGUUAUUCCUACUAACUCUAGCCAGUAUUAAACAGAGUUGUAGU